rnacentral:lncRNA from 1 species
CCCUUGGCUGGCCGCUAUACCUAGCAUUUAAUGUUUCAGGCAGGCAUUAUGACCGAUUUGCCUGUCACUUUGACCCAUAUGGCCCUAUCUACAAUGAUCGCGAGCGAACUGAGAUAUUCAUUUCUGAUGCUGGUGUUCUUGCUGUCACUUAUGGUCUCUACCGUCUUGCUCUAGCAAAGGGCUUUGCUUGGGUUAUUUGCGUUUAUGGAGUACCUUUGUUAGUGGUGAAUGCAUUUCUUGUUAUGAUCACAUAUCUGCAACAUACUCAUCCUUCAUUGCCGCAUUAUGAUUCUUCUGAGUGGGAUUGGCUGAGAGGCGCGCUCGCAACUGUUGAUAGAGAUUACGGAAUCUUGAACAAGGUAUUCCAUAACAUUACAGACACUCAUGUAGCUCACCAUUUGUUUUCUACAAUGCCACAUUAUCAUGCAAUGGAGGCUACAAAUGCCAUAAAACC